GUCAAGUAUGCUCACACAGACAUGGUCACCUCUUGUUCCUGUGAUAUCUUAAAUAUGAUCCACUUUGAACACCUUAGGAUCACAGAUGGUUCAGCACUCCAACUUUAGACUCAGACUGUGUCUUCUUCAUCAACAACCUUCACAAUGGUCCCCAUUCAGAGGCGAGCUGCUGUCUGCCAUAAUAGGAGCCAGGGCUUGGCUUUUCUAUUGUGUCUGUCCGUCCGUCUCUAUGUAUGAUGAGUUUGUGUUUGUGACGGUCCAGAGCUCACAGAUGAUGGAUGGUGUCAGGAUGACUUUGUCUCUUUGGAUACUCUGAGUCAGGACCGACUUUAAGCUUCGGAUUUAUUCUCAACCAUUUCAAAAGCUCCUCGGUGUCUGUGGUAUCAGACCAUAAGCCCUGAAAUAACCAGACCAGAGAUAGACCCAUAAAGGGGUCAGGAAGUAAGCUCAAAGCGUAUCAAGAGGUCAACUACAACAGUUGUCUCACGGCAUCCUCCAACAAAGACCAAAGAACUAGACUACUUCAGGUCAUGAUGGAAAGCACAAGAACCUUUUGUCUGUUUCUGCUGAUCAACCAGCUGACACUCUGUCCUACCCAUGCAGACCAUUCAACCACACUGCUGUACUCCUCGGCAACAAAAGAUCAAGGUGGGACUUCAACCCCUGCUUCGGGUCCCAACUUCACCACCAUCGACCACUCAAACUAUCUUGAUACAGACACAAACGGCACCCGAGCUGACUGCCUAAUCGACACUGAGAUGGGUCUUAUUGCUUUGGGUUGUGCAGGGGGGCUGAUUUUCUGUCUGCUGGUAACCACAGUGGUACUGGCAUGUCAGGUCUGGCACCUUCAGCACCGGGUGCAUGUCCCAAGAACCUCAAGGUCCAACCUGGACUUAGUGGGCAGUGCGAGCUACUGGGGCGACGACCGUCCUGAGGCUCAAGGACUGAUCGGUCCGUGUGAUGCCAGCGUAAUGCUCGAGGAGGUGAGAACAGACAGCAAGGAGGAGGAAGACAGUCAGGCUGAAAUACGAGAAGAAGGCGGAGCCGCAGCAAUGGCUUUCAAUCUUGAAGAUAAGGCCGGUCAGAUGCAAAGCUCCAGCUCCAGGGACUCCUGUCUGGAGAUUCCCAGAGAUCUUGAGGACAUGCCCCUUGUUGUGUGAGGAGGUAACCCCAACUCGGAGAGACCAGCGCACCCAAAAUCUUCCAUCGAGACAAAAAGCAGCCAAUUCAGCUGAUGUGUUGUGGUAGCAGGUUCUUCUUCUUUCCAGUUUAUGACAACUCACAAAAGUUAACUUUAAUGUCAGUAAGAUAUCUCACUGCCUGGGCAUCGAUCUCAAGUUAGAUGAUUGGUGCCAACACAUAACCCAUCAGGACCGUUUUUGAAUCCUUUCCUUUGAGAAAUAUAAUUUUUUUUUGAAAAAACGUGUGACUGAUGUUAGCUAAAGACCCAUAAAUAUUUGUCAUAUGAAAAGCCAUUUUAAAGUUGUUUUUUUCUCGGGGUGUUUUUGUAGUGGAAAUGCGACUUAAACAAGUUUAUCAUUCUGAUGAUACUAGAGAACGUGUUGGGGUAAAGAGCCAGUCCCAGUCUUUUGUACAUUUCCCAUGUGUGUAGCUUAAUGUGGAAUUUAUUCAAAUCUCUAAACUGGGCUGUAAAAGACGACGCAGCAGAGAGGUCUAAAGUCAAGAGGACAGAAUUAAAGAGGUUCAUUGACUGUACAUGAUUCUCUACAUAUUUGAUCCCACUUACUUCAUAAAUCUUUAAUUUAGUGAAGCUAAUGAUUUAUUAGACAGAGUGAUGGGAGACCUCCAGCAGCUGCUGAAGCCACGUUCAGAUGACGCUCGUUAAGUUUGGUACAUGUUCUACUAACUGUUCAAAUAAAUCCUUGUUGAAUUCUGCUUCUGAGUUUUCACAGUGUAAGGCCAUACCUUCUUAAUAUUUCUGUUAUUACAUAACUAUUGUGCAAAAGAAAAGAAGCCUGCUUUUAAUAAACUGAUUUGCUUUUUGUCAA